AACGUAGGACGCGAGCGUUAUCCGGAGUUACUGGGCGUAAAGGGUGGGCAGGCGGCCGUGUCAGAUGGGUGUGAAAUCUCCCGGCUCAACCGGGAGGGGCCACUCGUGACUGCACGGCUGGAGGGCAGCAGAGGCGCGUGGAAUUCCGGGUGGAGUGGUGAAAUGCGUAGAGAUCCGGAGGAACACCAGAGGCGAAGGCGGCGCGCUGGGCUGCACCUGACGCUGAACCACGAAAGCCAGGGUAGCGAACGGG
rnacentral:rRNA from 2 species